UACGUAGGGGGCAAGCGUUGUUCGGAAUUACUGGGCGUAAAGGGCGCGUAGGCGGCAUGGCAAGUCAGGAGUGAAAGGCCUGGGCUCAACCGAGGAACUGCUUUUGAUACUGCCAAGCUAGAGUGCGGAAGGGGCAACUGGAAUUCCCAGUGUAGCGGUGAAAUGCGUAGAGAUCGGCAGGAACACCCAGGGGGAAACCAGCCGGCUGGGGACGAGCUGACGCUCAGGGGCGAAAGCGUGGGGAGCGAACCGG
rnacentral:rRNA from 1 species